GAUAAGUUUUAUUUUGGUUUUAAAUUUUAAUAUAUAGAUUAAUUUAUAUGUAAGUUUUAGCUUUAAAAAAUUAUUUAAAUAUUAAUUUUUAAUUUUAUUAGAUGCAAUAAUUAAUUUUAUACUUAUAAAAGAAAUUUUGAUAUAAUAAUUUAUAAGAGUAUUGGCUAAAUUUGUGCCAGCAGUCGCGGUUAAACAGGUGAUGCAAUUAAAUUUAUUUAAGUUUGAUAAUUUACAUGAUAAUUAAUUAUUAAUUUAAAAUUAUUUUUAAUAAGUGAAAUUAGAAAUUUAAAUAAAAUUAAUUUGAAGUUUGGAGAUUUAUGAAAUUUUAUUAUUAAACUAGGAUUAGAUACCCUAUUAUAAAAAAUGUAAAUUUUAUAUACUAGAUUAUUAUUAGUUAUGUUCUUGAAAUUUAAAAGAUUUGGCGGUAUUUUAAGUCUUUUUAGAGGAACCUGUUCUAUAAUUGAUGAUCCACGAUUAAUUGUACUUGAUUUUAUUAGUUUGUAUACCGUCGUCAUUUGAAUGUCUUAAAAGAGUUAAAGAAUGUUCAUAAGUUAUUAUUUUUAUAAAGUAAAUCAGAUCAAGGUACAGCUUAUAAUUAAGAAGAAAUGGGUUACAAUAAAUUUAUUUAUAUGGUAAUAAAUAAUUAACAUUAUUAUUUAAAGUGGAUUUAAUAGUAAUUUAUUUAAGUUAAAAUAUAUGAUUAAAAGCUCUGAAAUGUGCACAUAUCGCCCGUCGUUUCCAAUAAAUAUUUAAGUUGGAAUAAGUCGUAACAUAGUAGGUGUACCGGAAGGUGUAUCUAGUUAGAU
rnacentral:ncRNA from 1 species